GAGUAACACGUAUCCAACCUGCCGUCUACUCUUGGACAGCCUUCUGAAAGGAAGAUUAAUACAAGAUGGCAUCAUGAGUCCGCAUGUUCACAUGAUUAAAGGUAUUCCGGUAGACGAUGGGGAUGCGUUCCAUUAGAUAGUAGGCGGGGUAACGGCCCACCUAGUCUUCGAUGGAUAGGGGUUCUGAGAGGAAGGUCCCCCACAUUGGAACUGAGACACGGUCCAAACUCCUACGGGAGGCAGCAGUGAGGAAUAUUGGUCAAUGGGCGCAGGCCUGAACCAGCCAAGUAGCGUGAAGGAUGACUGCCCUAUGGGUUGUAAACUUCUUUU
rnacentral:rRNA from 1 species